rnacentral:rRNA from 1 species
CUGACGAGCGGCGGACGGGUGAGUAACGCGUGGGAAUCUAUCCAGUAGCGGGGGAUAGCCCGGGGAAACCCGGAUUAAUACCGCAUACGCCCUCAGGGGGAAAGCAGGGGAUCUUUGGACCUUGCACUAUUGGGAGAGCCCGCGUCGGAUUAGCUAGUUGGUAGGGUAAAGGCCUACCAAGGCGACGAUCCGUAGCUGGUCUGAGAGGAUGAUCAGCCACACUGGGACUGAGACACGGCCCAG